rnacentral:rRNA from 1 species
AUUGAACGCUGGCGGCAUGCUUUACACAUGCAAGUCGAGCGGCAGCGCGGGGGCAACCCUGGCGGCGAGCGGCGAACGGGUGAGUAAUGCAUCGGAACGUAUCCUCGAGUGGGGGAUAACCCAGCGAAAGUUGGGCUAAUACCGCAUGAGCUCUGAGGAGGAAAGCGGGGGACCUGCGAGGGCCUCGCGCUGGAGGAGCGGCCGAUGUCCGAUUAGCUUGUUGGUGGGGUAAAGGCUUACCAAGGCGACGAUCGGUAGCUGGUCUGAGAGGAUGAUCAGCCACACUGGGACUGAGACACGGCCCAGACUCCUACGGGAGGCAGCAGUGGGGAAUUUUGGACAAUGGGGGCAACCCUGAUCCAGCCAUGCCGCGUGAGUGAAGAAGGCCUUCGGGUUGUAAAGCUCUUUCGGACGGAACGAAAUGGGCGGGACUAAUACUCCUGUCUGAUGACGGUACCGUAAGAAGAAGCACCGGCUAACUACGUG